UGUCCAAUGGAAACUUCUAAUUACCGUAACAUCUGCUGUUCUCGAGUGCACAUCCCUAAAUAUAAGUAUUUAGCACAUCACUACCGUACGCAUCGCGUCUCCUCAGUGUGUACCGAGGUCCAUCAGCAGUUGUAUGACUCUCAUGCUAGUGUACCGCCAAUAAAGCACGAUAGGAAAACCUAAAAAGACCAAAGAGUAAGUUAAAGAUAAUAGAAGGCUUGCCGCGCGACAAUACCGAGAACGAGUUAAAAAUGCC
rnacentral:misc_RNA from 1 species